rnacentral:lncRNA from 1 species
CUCUGCCCCACUAGAUUCAGUUUAAUAAAGGAAAGAUGCCCUCUCCAGAAAGACCCAUUUUAGGUCUUUUUCAAGGAUAGUGAACACAUUUUUUAACAAAAUAGGUUGUAAUGUUUCCAAGGAAAGUUUUGCCUAUUUUAUUAAGAUGGACGUUUCUUUUUAGGCUGAUUUGAAGUCCAACUGAAGCUUUUUAAUCAAUAUUUUAAAAUUCAACCACUAGAGAUUUUUAUGAUGCGAAUAAUUAUGUUGUCUGAAAGAUGUGGUUUUAUUGAAUGUCUAUUUGAGUAACAUUUAAAAAGUGUUUACCUUUUCCUGUCCAUCGUUUCUCUUGUUUAUGGUUAUUAUCAAUGUUUAUCUAUUUUUUGAUUAAUUUAAUACAGUUUGUAAUGUGAAAGUUGCUUGUCUGGGACCACGUUCACCUCACAGCACUAAUGGAUCUCACAUGAGUACACAAUGUUUAAGAGGAAGAUAGACAGUUGUCCUCUCUAUGAUUUCGGGAGUUCUUCGUGACUGGGCUAUGACACACAAAGGAAAUGCUCAUUGGUAUUUUCUCCUACUUUACGUUGCUGGAUUAUAGAACAGGACAGGAUUUUACAUGUUUGCCACAGUUGCACCCCAAUAAUUUUCUGCAUAUUCACAAAUUCUGACGGUUUCCUGAGACUUCAAUGGCACGCUUCCUCCAAAAUUUCUCCUUCAUAUUUAAGUAAAAUUUCAAAUCGCUACAUUUCCAUUGUGAGAGUCGUCAGGAGUAUUAACUCAGAAAAGAACACAUACCCUUCGAAACUCCUUUGAAAGCAAUUUUGUUUUGCCCACUUACAUUCAGAGCAUUUAUGGACUCACUCACUAGGGACUGAGGAGUAG